UGCUGUGUCCAUAUCCUGUUGUAGUGUC
rnacentral:piRNA from 1 species